rnacentral:rRNA from 1 species
GACGAACGCUGGCGGCGUGCUUAACACAUGCAAGUCGAACGGAAAGGCCCUGCUUUUGUGUGGUGCUCGAGUGGCGAACGGGUGAGUAACACGUGAGUAACCUGCCCUUGACUUUGGGAUAACUUCAGGAAACUGGGGCUAAUACCGGAUAGGAGCUCCUGCUGCAUGGUGGGGGUUGGAAAGUUUCGGCGGUUGGGGAUGGACUCGCGGCUUAUCAGCUUGUUGGUGGGGUAGUGGCUUACCAAGGCUUUGACGGGUAGCCGGCCUGAGAGGUGGACCGGCGACAUGGGGACUGAGAGACGGAGCAGACGCCAAUGGGAGACAGCAGGGGAGAAUAUUACACAAUGGGCGGAAGCCUGAGGCAGCAAUGCCGCGAGCGGGAUGAAGGCCUUCGGGUUGUAAACCGCUUUCGGCUGUGACGAAGCGUGAGUGACGGUAAUGGGUAAAGAAGCACCGGCUAACUACGUG